rnacentral:lncRNA from 1 species
UGCAUGCAAGGCUCUGGAGAACAAGAGAUUGUUCAUGUUGGACUAUCAUGAUUUGCUUCUACCGUAUGUGAACAAAGUGAGAGCGUUGGAUGAUAGCACCUUAUAUGCUUCUCGAGCACUAUUCUUCCUCAGCGAUGAUAGCACAUUGAGACCUGUUGCCAUUGAGUUGACUCGUCCCCAAGAUGUAAACAGACCCCAGUGGAGGCAGGUAUUCACGCCAGGCUAUGAUGCUACCUCCUGCUGGCUAUGGAGUCUUGCUAAGACUCACGUUAUUUCUCAUGACGCUGGUUAUCACCAGCUUAUUUCCCACUGGUAUUGAACAAACUAGAUGUAUAUAUAUGCUUAUUUUGUUGAUACUAUUAUUUAGUUUUAACUGUAUAGACAUUAAUACACGUAUAUUUUACAGGCUGAGGACUCACUGCUGUAUAGAGCCAUACAUUAUAGCGGCAAACAGACAACUAAGUGCGAUGCAUCCUAUCUAUAGGCUUCUGCAUCCCCACUUCCGCUACACCAUGGAGAUCAAUGCUCGUGCACGCCAAGUUCUCAUCAACGAAGGUGGAAUCAUUGAGUCUUGUUUCUGGCCCGGCAAGUAUUCAUUAGAGCUAAGUUCAGAUGUCUAUGAUAAACUCUGGAGGUUCGACAGGGAAGGCUUACCUGCAGACCUCAUCGGCAGGUACAUAAUUCCUAAGAUUAAUAUUUUAGAACUUGUUUUUGUAUACAAAAGAUUAAUGUUUUGCUUUUAAUUAAUAGUACAUUUUGGUUUAAAAUUAAAACGUAAAUUAAGAUUUGAAAAUUUGAAUAGUUAAACUUUAUUGGGAAACAAAUAAAACUAACAAAAACUAAUCAAUAUAUAUAUUUUUUAUUUUGAUUGAUAUGCAUGCAAAUUCUAAAACUUAAUCUUUUAAGUGAAGAGCAAGUACUUAUUUUAUUUGGUUUGAUCAAAAAGAUACUUAUUUCUUUGUAUAUAUUCUAUACUAGUUAUGCUAACAAUAUUUUUACAUAAAACAAAAAAAAAUGUGAUAUCAAAGGGGGCUGGCUGUGGAAGAUGAGACAGCGGAACAUGGGGUACGCCUCACGAUACCAGAUUUCCCAUUUGCGAAUGACGGUCUAAUGCUGUGGGAUGCACUUAAGGAAUGGGUCACAGACUAUGUGAAUCACUAUUAUCCAGAUUCAGAACAGGUCACAUUGGAUGAGGAACUCCAAGGAUGGUGGAGUGAAGUGAGGAACAUAGGGCAUGGAGACAAGAAAAAUGAACCAUGGUGGCCUGUCCUCAAAACACAAGAUGACUUGAUUGAAGUGGUGACUACGAUUGCAUGGGUGGCUUCAGGCCACCAUGCAGCUGUAAACUUUGGACAGUACGGGUAUGGUGGAUACUUUCCCAACCGACCAACCACAUCAAGGAUAAAAAUGCCAGUGGAAGAGCCGACAGAUGAAGAGCUAAAAGAGUUCUAUGAGGAUCCAGAGAAGACCAUGCUUAAGACAUUCCCGUCGAAGAAGCAGGCGACCAUAGUGAUGGUGACUUUGGAUCUUCUAUCUGCACAUUCACCAGAUGAAGAGUACCUAGGGGAAAACCCAGAAGCAUCUUGGGCCCACGAACCUGUCAUCUAUGCUGCAUAUGAACGUUUCAAAGGCAAGCUCCAAUACCUAGAAGGAGUGAUAGAUGAGAGGAACGUGAAUGUUUCUCUAAAGAAUCGAGCUGGAGUAGGUGUUGUUAAGUACGAGCUUUUGAAGCCUAUCUCUGAACCAGGCGUUACCGGGAUGGGUGUUCCCUACAGUGUGUCUAUCUGAUCUAAAGCAUUUUGAUCUAAUGCAUUGGAUGUUAUCAUCUACGUUUCUCCCAAGUUAUCAUCUAUGUUUUUUUUUGCUUUUGUAAUAAAUAAUGAAUCUCAACCUGCUCAAAAGUACCUUAUUUGUGCUGGGAAGCGGUAAAGGAUUUUGAUGUUGUUAUUUCUUUUGGGAAUAAGACUUAAUGUGUGGUUAUUUUAUGUGUAUUGGACCAAAUAUUGUUGGACGUUGGUAAACGACCGAUUGAGUUGGCCUAACCUAAUGAAGAUUAAUUGUAUUCAAGUAUAGAAAGUUAAAGGCCUAUGAAAACAAUAUUACCUGGAAAACUUUAGGAAAUCGUUGAAAAUUCUAAACCAUAAUAUUAUGUUUUGUGUUUAGGUUAAAUGGUUAAAUGUUUUAUAUCAUAAUAUUAUUAGUAUAUUUAGUUAAUAUAAUUGAGGAACACUUCGGUAUUUUGGUUUGGUUUGGUUUAAAACCAAACUAAACCAUUUUUAUUCAUAAAAUCUUUAACCAAAUAGUUUAGACAUAUACUUUUGGUUUGGUUCGUCUCGGUUUGUGUUCUUAUUAGGGUGAGUUGAUUAUAUGAUGGUUUGGGUACUGUUGUUGUUUACAAGAUUACAGAUUUUUUCCUUCAAACAUGCAACAAAAUUAAAUAUUUUUUAUUAAACAAAUAUAAAUACUUUUAUUUAAAAACCAAAAUUAAACCGGUUCAUUUAAAAACUACUCCCUCUGUUUCCUACUAUAAAUAAUUUAAGAAAACAUUGUUUGUUUCAAAAUAUAAGUACUUUCAUUAUUCUAUAUAAUUUUUUACUUUUAUUGUGUAUAGUAUGACCAAUCAAAUAAUAUACUUAUUUAUGACUGGUUUAACUAUACCUAAUUUAUAUAUCAAAUGAUAUUUUAAAAAUAAAUAAUAUAUUUCUUAAUCUUUGUGCAUUGAUCAACUAAAACUUUCUACAUAUAAAAACAAAGGGAGUAGCAUUUUUCCUAAAUUUGAAAAUGCCCAAAACACAAUAAAUAAGUCUACACUAUAGUCGCAUAUGAACCUAUAAGCUUUAUUUUCUGUCUUCUUUAGAUAUGGCAUAAACUUCUGGCCACUACCGGCAAUUGCGUCCUCAUAAACGAGACUGAGAAGUUCGGUAAUUUUUAGUUAUAAGUUCGGUAACAACAACAAAAACGUGCAGGGAAGCACUUCUUUUGAAAACAACAAUAUAAUAACAAACACUAUAAUUCUAGGGUGAAUUUGUGGAAUAACUAUAUUGAAAAAAAUAUUCACUAAGUAACCAUAUAAAAAGAGAAGUUCGGAUGUGAUAGCUUCACACAGAAAUGGACCAAAUUUUCCUUCUCCGCUCAUGGUUGUGCAUCAAGAGCGAUUUGUAAAAUUAGACUAUACUAUAUUUAUUACGCAAAUAAUAUAGAAGAACUGAUUUUUGAUUGUUGUUACACGAAGUUAAAAAAAAUAAGAAACGGUGGACGAGAUGAGGAAACGAUGGAUGGCGACAGUGGUGGAGAAAAACACGGUAGCGAUGUUGAAACAAACGGUAGUAGUGAUGGUACUGAUGUUACAGUUGGAUACCAUGAAAAACACAAUACAUAUUGUGCUACAAGUCUAUUAUGUAGCUCUAAAAUAUAAUAGAAUAUAAAAACAGUACAUUGUUCAUUUUCUCCAAUUAUGUUUACUAAUGGCGGCAGAGAUUGUAUCACACGAAAAUGAUGCAGAAGAAGAUAAUAGUUAUGAUGGAAUAAUCAGUAGUGGUGAAUAUUACAACCGGAGGUGAUUGAGGAGGAAAAGAGGCAGAAUGAAGAUUGAAGAGGAUAAUUAAAAAGCAGGAGGAGUGAAGGAACAGAAGGAAUAGGAGGAUGAAAAUAAAGCAAUGUCCAUUCUAUAUUUUUACUAUCUUGAUGUAUGAAUUGUGAUGCUUAAGGAUAGAUUGACAUUCCUUUUUACAUAUAAUGUGUGCUUAGUGCUAGAUUAGACUUAGUUACUUUUAACCUAUGUUUAAGGUGAUUUCAUGUCUGAGAGGUGUUCUAUGAAAUGUUUGACUGAAUCUCAUAUUGUGUUUUGCAUGUUUAGCCAACAAAGUUGAUGUUUUGCAUACUAGAGAUGUAUUAUGACUACUAUGACUUGUUUCCAAUGCAUGGUUAAGUGUCGUUAGCCAAUAAGAGUUGAUAUUGAAUGCAUGAUUACCAUAGGAGUUAUUAUCACAAGAGUAAAUUUGUUUAUACUUGUGAUCCUAGGAUGAAGAAGCAUGAUAAUUGAUUAUGAUUAGCAUCCAAAUUUUGAAAUCUAUCAUCCUUAAUUGGUUACCAAUUCCAUGAGUUAACCUUUUAAACUUUGAUUAACACUUGUUAUUUGCUGAGUUUCUUGAUUGGAAUUGAGAUCACUGCUUUCUUAAUCACUUCUAACCAUUAGUAUUUUAAACCAAACUUAAUUACUUAGCGUAAAAGACCACUUGCAUUAUUCUAUUUGCUUUAAAAAUCGUGGAUUGGGUUGACAUAUCUUGAUACGUAUAUGAUAGAUUUGUUCUUAUGAUUGAGUAGUAUAAAAGAAAUAUUAAACUUAUUGAACACCAUUGAGAAGGUAAGAAGACAUUAGGAUCAUGGCUUUCUCUUUGUCCUCACUUUCACAUCCACUUUUACAGAUCGCGGAUGAUUUAAUUGAAGUUUUAACAUAUGCGAUAAGAUCACCAGAUUAUACAUUGUCAGUUCGUACAACCUCCACUACAAAUACAACUUGUUUAAAAACGACUUCAACAUAUGUAUUUUUUCUUACUGAUCCCACAUUUCACUACAAGUUAUGAUUUUAAUCACCUGAUUAGUAAUAUAACCAGAGAAACACAAAUAUAUCGUUGAACAGUUUGUUCAUGUAUAUCGUCGUACUAAAUCUUUUCCGGUAUGUUUACGACAACACCUUCUUCAUCCUUAAUUGCUCCACUAGAUCCUUAACUACUUUUUAUUAUAGACCAGGAUAUCUCUUUCCAUCAAAUUUAAAACAUAAAAAAUUAAAUAUUCCGUUUUUAGUGCACAUACUUUCAUAAACUUUAACUUUUAGUAUGACUUAUUUUUGCUAGUUAAUUAAAUCAACAUAAAACCAAUCGACCAAAUGGAAAAAUUCCAAUUAAUCACUGCAUAUAUAUUCAUCUAUCUUAAUAAUAUUGUGUAAAAAGUAAAAAUUUUACGUAUCACUCUCACGUUAACUUUCACGAGUGUAGCUACAUGUAUAUAUAUACUUAAUGAAUUAAAAUAAUAAUAAUAAUCGAUUACUAUUAUUAAAUUUUAUUUUUAUUUAAUAACAUUUAUUCUAAUUAUGGAAAUAAAACCUAGAAAAUAUCUCAAAAAUAAAAUAUCUCAAAAUUAUUAUAAUAGUAUUUUAGAUGUUUGCUUUUACAAGUCUCACUUGCUUUGAUUUUUAAAAAUCUAAAUAUAUUAGUAGUAUUAAUGAAUUCAAAUAUAUUUAGCAAUUAAGUUUAUUUUAUAAAUAUUAUAUUUUAAAACAUAAUAAAUUAUAGAUGAUAAACAUAUAAUUUGUUUUUUUUAUUUCAAAUAAUUGGAAUUUUAAUAGUUAAUAUUUGAUAAUAAAUUAUUAAAGUAUUUUUAAUUAACAACUCUAUUUUUUCUAAUCAAUAUUAUUUAUAAGAUGAUUUUAAUGUAUAUUAAAAUACUUGAACUAAGAAUAAUUUUACUAUGAAUGUAUUUUGAUCAAAUAAUUAGAAAAAGGGAAUUUAUUAAACUAAUAUACCUUAAUCAUAUGAUAUCAUAAAAAAAUUUGUGUUAAAUUGACUUAAUACCAAAUACAUAAUUUUAAAAAUAUGGGAUCAAAUAUUAAAGUUAUGGUUGGCACUUGAUGUGAACCAUGUAUAUUACUAAACUGAUAGAAUAAAACUGUUAAUUUGGUAGUUAUUGGUAUAUCUUUGACACUCUAAUUGAUUGAUGUCUUUUGAAAUUACUAGUUUGAUUAGUUUAUGCAACUCCGGAGUAAUCAACACUUCUAAUUUUUCUCCUAUAAUUUUAUCCCAAAACAAAAUAUUUUAAAUUAUAUUUAAUUUUUUCAAAUAUAUUAUUAUUCUAAGAGUAUGAAUCAAAAUAAAUUCAAUUAAAAAAUUAAUUUGAUUUAAAUAUAUUUAGUAACUAAAUAAAAUAUGGUACAAUUUAGAAAAACAAAUGAAAUUCAAUACCAAAAAUGAAUAACUGAAGCAAUAUGAAUUAUUUUACUUUAAAUGAUAUAUCUACUUAAAAGAAAAGAAUAUUGAUAUUUAACGCAAUCUUUUGUUAAGUUUCAUACAUAUAAAUAACAAAACGAUUUAAGACUUAUAAAAAAAAGAGAGUAAAAUAUUAAGCAAUUAUAUUGAUCUAAUUAUAUUGUAAAUAUUUAAAGACACUAAACAAAUGUGUCCACAGAGAUAAGGGGUUAUGUUUUGGGUUUUAUUUGAAUAUUUAGAGAGAAAGUUCAUUUAUGUGUUGUAUUUCACUUUUGAGAUUGUACGGAUAUUUCAUAGAUAUUCUAUAGCUACAAAAAUAUUAAAUAGUUAAAGCUGAGUCACAAAAAAAAUUGAUUUUUAAAAUGACUUAUAUUACAAUUUUAAUCAAAUUAAAUUAGAAAAAAUGAUAAAGAAAAUACAUAAAUUAUUUUAUCAUCAGAAAUAUAAUAAAUGUUAUUUAGUUCUUAUGUAAGUUACUCAAAAAGCACACCUAUUUAUAUAGGGUGUGAGUGACCAAAAAUAGAGUAAUUGGAAGGAAUAAAAAUUAGAGUAAAUUAGUAAGAAAAGAAAUGAGAGAGAAAAAUAAAGCUGGAGUAAAAAGUUUACUCCAUAAGAAACGGAAGAAAACUUUUAAGUGUUGCUCAAAAAGAAACUUUUUAAGUUGAAAAUUCACAAAAGACAUAAAUAAAAAGGUAACUCUACAUGAAACUAUAUUUUUUUUAUUGUGAUUGAUUCUGUAUCAGCGCAACUCAGUUGAAAAUUAAUUUUACUCUAAAAUUUUAUGCUAGAAAGGCUAUGCAGUCACUCAUAGUUAGUACUCACCCCAUCUAUAUCAACAAAGUAACAUGCAAACUCGUGGACUCGGUAAGUAGAGAACUUUUUUCUAAUUUUAGAAAUAAGAAAAAUAUUUAAUAUUUUAUAAACUUGUAUAAAUAGAUGUAGAGGGGAUGCACAAGAGAGUAAGCAACAUAAAAGAAAACAGAUAAAAAGAUGUUUUGUAGAGAGGCGUCGUCCAGUCUCCAGACCUUAAGCAUAGCAAACAGUCUCAGCUCUCAGUUCACUAAACCAUCAGCACUCAUCAACUCCCUCUCGGCAGGACAUCGUUACAAGCUGUGUCCUCGUCCAAACCUCAGGGGACGAUGUACGGUCACUGCCUCAAAGUUUGAUAUUAAUGGGAAAGGUAAAAUAGUGAAAGACGAAGUUAAGAAAAUCAAAGUAAAGGGAACUAUAACGGUGUUGUCCGAAGAAAAAAAAAAGAAGGGAACUAUAAUGGCCCAAGAAGGCUUGUUACCUUCCGUCGGAGAAUCACUGCUCGUCGAGCUUAUUAGCGCCGAGACUGACCCCCGUGAGUACAAUUAUCAGGCAAACGUAUUAUUAUUAUUUUUAUAUAAGAAGCUAUCGCAUUUUGAGUAUACAAAUUUAUAAUGUGACGUAAAAAAGUAGGCUAGUGCAUCAUUAGUGAUUAAUGGAAUGAUACUUAACCAAGUACUUAACACAUAUGUCAGGGACGCCAAUGGAGAAGGAUCCAGUGGAGGAUUACGCACAACGUGAUGGACAUGAUGAUCAGUACCUACAGUGUGUGUUCGACAUGCCCGAAGACUUUGGAGUGGUUGGUGCCAUCAGAGUUGUAAACCUUGAGAGUAAAGAGAUAUUCCUCAAGGAAAUGAAGCUUGAGGUACCCGACGGCCCCGUUACCUUUACAUUUAACUCGUGGGUGGCCCCCAAGUCCGAAGACUCAACCAAGCGGACAUUCUUCUCCAACAAGUCCUACUUGCCUCUCAAAACUCCUGAGCCUCUUAAACAGCUGCGAAAAGAGGAGCUGGAGACCUUGCAAGGCAAGAACCGUGAGGGAGAUAGUGAAUUCAAAAAAUUCGAGCGGGUUUACGAUUAUGACGUGUACAACGAUGUGGGUAAUCCUGACAAAGAUCCAGAACUUGCACGUCCCGUUCUUGGCGGCCUCUCUCACCCAUACCCAAGGCGGUGCAAGACUGGUCGCAAACCCUGCGUCAUAGACCCCUCCACGGAGACACGCCAAAAAGAUUUCUAUGUCCCCAGAGACGAGGAGUUCAGCAAAGUCAAGGGUGAUGCAUUCACGGGCACGGCAGCCUUGGCAGCUCUUCCUGCUGCGUUGCAACAGAUCGAAGCUCUUCUGUUGGAUCCAAACAUGCCCUUCCCACACUUCAAGUCCAUAGAAAAUCUCUUUGAAGAAGGCAUCGAGAUUCCCAAAGAAGGCAUCCCCAGAAUUUUCAAAGCUAUUGCUGCUAAAGCUGAGGAUAUUCUCCUCUUUGAAUCCCCUAUUCUCCUUGACAGUACCAAUCUCUUUUUUAAUCCUCCAUUAUAUAUUUAUACCUAAUUCUGUAUAAAGCUAGCUACAAUUAAUCUCACUUAACUGCAUCAUUCACUUUGAUUCAGAGGAUAGAUUUUCAUGGAUUCGAGACAACGAGUUUGCUCGCCAGACACUUGCAGGCCUUAAUCCCUAUUGCAUUCAGCUAGUUCGAGUAAGCUAUAUACUACGCUUUAACCAGUAGUUUUUUCUUUUGAUUGUUCCAAUAAAGCAAGAUACAUACGUACAUGGUGUUGGUGGAAAACUGAGCUAGUUAAGAUCACAUUGUUGUUGUAGGAGUGGCCCUUGAAAAGCAAACUAGACCCUGCGGUUUAUGGUGAUCCCAACUCACUCAUUACUAGUGAGAUUGUGGAAAGAGAAAUCAAAGGAGUUAUGUCAUUUGAUGAGGUAACAUUAACUAAUAUCCACAUGUUUUAAAGAAAAAAGCAUAUAUAUAUAUCCAUCCAUCCAUAUGAAGUAAUUCCAUAAUGAAUAAAUAUCAAUGGAUGUGUGCAUGCAGGCUCUGGAGAACAAGAGAUUGUUCAUGUUGGACUAUCAUGAUUUGCUUCUACCGUAUGUGAACAAAGUGAGAGAGUUGGAUGAUAGCACCUUAUAUGCUUCUCGAACACUAUUCUUCCUCAACGAUGAUAGCACAUUGAGACCUGUUGCCAUUGAGUUGACUCGUCCCCAAGAUAAAACCAGGCCCCAAUGGAGGCACGUAUUCACGCCAGGAUAUGAUGCUACCUCCUGCUGGCUAUG